GAUGAAGAACGUAGCGAAAUGCGAUAAGUAAUGUGAAUUGCAGAAUUCAAUGAAUCAUCGAAUCUUUGAACGCACAUUGCGCCCGCCAGUAUUCUGGCGGGCAUGCCUGUCUGAGCGUCAUUUCAACCCUCAUGCCCCUAGGGCGUGGUGUUGGGGAUCGGCCAAAGCCCGCGAGGGACGGCCGGCCCCUAAAUCUAGUGGCGGACCCGUCGUGGCCUCCUCUGCGAAGUAGUGAUAUUCCGCAUCGGAGAGCGACGAGCCCCUGCCGUUAAACCCCCAACUUUCCAAGGUUGACCUCAGAUCAGGUAGGAAUACCCGCUGAACUUAAGCAUAUCAAUAAGCGGAGGA
rnacentral:misc_RNA from 1 species